GUAGGGAGCGAGCGUUGUUCGGAAUCAUUGGGCGUAAAGAGCGCGUAGGUGGUUUGGCAAGUCUGUUGUGAAAGCCCAUGGCUCAACUGUGGAACUGCGACGGAAACUGCCAGGCUAGAGUGCGGGAGAGGAAAGUGGAAUUCCCAGUGUAGAGGUGAAAUUCGUAGAUACUGGGAGGAACACCGGUGGCGAAGGCGGCUUUCUGGACCGCAACUGACGCUGAGGCGCGAAAGCUAGGGGGAGCAAACGGGAUUAGAUACCCCGGUAGUCCUAGCCGUAAACGAUGGGCACUAGGUGUAGGGGGGUAUCGACCCCCUUCUGUGCCGCAGCUAACGCAUUAAGUGCCCCCGCCUGGGGAUACGGUCGCAAGACUA
rnacentral:rRNA from 1 species